UGCACAGACUCCAAAGCAGUAGAUGAGCAGGCAGCAAUCGAGGCAACCAGUUCAUGCUUGAUGGCCGCACUGAGCGGUGCCAACCUUAUUCAUGAUAUUG
rfam:Syntrophaceticus schinkii strain Sp3 genome assembly, contig: SSCH_Contig_34